rnacentral:rRNA from 1 species
GGGUUGUGAGGUUAAGCGACUAAGCGUACACGGUGGAUGCCCUGGCAGUCAGAGGCGAUGAAGGACGUGCUAAUCUGCGAAAAGCGUCGGUAAGGUGAUAUGAACCGUUAUAACCGGCGAUGUCCGAAUGGGGAAACCCAGUGCAAUUCGUUGCACUAUCGUUAACUGAAUACAUAGGUUAACGAGGCGAACCGGGGGAACUGAAACAUCUAAGUACCCCGAGGAAAAGAAAUCAACCGAGAUUCCCCCAGUAGCGGCGAGCGAACGGGGAGCAGCCCAGAGUCUGAAUCAGCUUGUGUGUUAGUGGAACGGUCUGGAAAGUCCGACGGUACAGGGUGAUAGUCCCGUACACCAAAAUGCACAGGCUGUGAACUCGAAGAGUAGGGCGGGACACGUGGUAUCCUGUCUGAAUAUGGGGGGACCAUCCUCCAAGGCUAAAUACUCCUGACUGACCGAUAGUGAACCAGUACCGUGAGGGAAAGGCGAAAAGAACCCCGGCGAGGGGAGUGAAAAAGAACCUGAAACCGUGUACGUACAAGCAGUGGGAGCACCUUCGGGUGUGACUGCGUACCUUUUGUAUAAUGGGUCAGCGACUUAUAUUCUGUAGCAAGGUUAACCGUAUAGGGGAGCCGCAGGGAAACCGAGUCUUAACUGGGCGUUAAGUUGCAGGGUAUAGACCCGAAACCCGGUGAUCUAGCCAUGGGCAGGUUGAAGGUUGGGUAACACUAACUGGAGGACCGAACCGACUAAUGUUGAAAAAUUAGCGGAUGACUUGUGGCUGGGGGUGAAAGGCCAAUCAAACCGGGAGAUAGCUGGUUCUCCCCGAAAGCUAUUUAGGUAGCGCCUCGUGAACUCAUCUUCGGGGGUAGAGCACUGUUUCGGCUAGGGGGUCAUCCCGACUUACCAACCCGAUGCAAACUACGAAUACCGAAGAAUGUUAUCACGGGAGACACACGGCGGGUGCUAACGUCCGUCGUGAAGAGGGAAACAACCCAGACCGCCAGCUAAGGUCCCAAAGUCAUGGUUAAGUGGGAAACGAUGUGGGAAGGCACAGACAGCCAGGAUGUUGGCUUAGAAGCAGCCAUCAUUUAAAGAAAGCGUAAUAGCUCACUGGUCGAGUCGGCCUGCGCGGAAGAUGUAACGGGGCUAAACCAUGCACCGAAGCUGCGGCAGCGACACUAUGUGUUGUUGGGUAGGGGAGCGUUCUGUAAGCCUGCGAAGGUGUGCUGUGAGGCAUGCUGGAGGUAUCAGAAGUGCGAAUGCUGACAUAAGUAACGAUAAAGCGGGUGAAAAGCCCGCUCGCCGGAAGACCAAGGGUUCCUGUCCAACGUUAAUCGGGGCAGGGUGAGUCGACCCCUAAGGCGAGGCCGAAAGGCGUAGUCGAUGGGAAACAGGUUAAUAUUCCUGUACUUGGUGUUACUGCGAAGGGGGGACGGAGAAGGCUAUGUUAGCCGGGCGACGGUUGUCCCGGUUUAAGCAUGUAGGCUGAUUGUCCAGGCAAAUCCGGAUAAUCAAGGCUGAGGUGUGAUGACGAGGCACUACGGUGCUGAAGUAACAAAUGCCCUGCUUCCAGGAAAAGCCUCUAAGCAUCAGGUAACAUUAAAUCGUACCCCAAACCGACACAGGUGGUCAGGUAGAGAAUACCAAGGCGCUUGAGAGAACUCGGGUGAAGGAACUAGGCAAAAUGGUGCCGUAACUUCGGGAGAAGGCACGCUGGUGUGUAGGUGAAGUCCCUGCGGAUGGAGCUGAGACCAGUCGAAGAUACCAGCUGGCUGCAACUGUUUAUUAAAAACACAGCACUGUGCAAACACGAAAGUGGACGUAUACGGUGUGACGCCUGCCCGGUGCCGGAAGGUUAAUUGAUGGGGUUAUCCGUAAGGAGAAGCUCUUGAUCGAAGCCCCGGUAAACGGCGGCCGUAACUAUAACGGUCCUAAGGUAGCGAAAUUCCUUGUCGGGUAAGUUCCGACCUGCACGAAUGGCGUAAUGAUGGCCAGGCUGUCUCCACCCGAGACUCAGUGAAAUUGAACUCGCUGUGAAGAUGCAGUGUACCCGCGGCAAGACGGAAAGACCCCGUGAACCUUUACUAUAGCUUGACACUGAACAUUGAGCCUUGAUGUGUAGGAUAGGUGGGAGGCUUUGAAGCGUGGACGCCAGUCUGCGUGGAGCCAACCUUGAAAUACCACCCUUUAAUGUUUGAUGUUCUAACGUUGGCCCCUUACCGGGGUUGCGGACAGUGUCUGGUGGGUAGUUUGACUGGGGCGGUCUCCUCCCAAAGCGUAACGGAGGAGCACGAAGGUUAGCUAAUCCUGGUCGGACAUCAGGAGGUUAGUGCAAUGGCAUAAGCUAGCUUGACUGCGAGCGUGACGGCGCGAGCAGGUGCGAAAGCAGGUCAUAGUGAUCCGGUGGUUCUGAAUGGAAGGGCCAUCGCUCAACGGAUAAAAGGUACUCCGGGGAUAACAGGCUGAUACCGCCCAAGAGUUCAUAUCGACGGCGGUGUUUGGCACCUCGAUGUCGGCUCAUCACAUCCUGGGGCUGAAGUAGGUCCCAAGGGUAUGGCUGUUCGCCAUUUAAAGUGGUACGCGAGCUGGGUUUAGAACGUCGUGAGACAGUUCGGUCCCUAUCUGCCGUGGGCGCUGGAGAAUUGAGGGGGGCUGCUCCUAGUACGAGAGGACCGGAGUGGACGCAUCACUGGUGUUCGGGUUGUCAUGCCAAUGGCACUGCCCGGUAGCUAAAUGCGGAAGAGAUAAGUGCUGAAAGCAUCUAAGCACGAAACUUGCCCCGAGAUGAGUUCUCCCUGAGACUUUAAGUCUCCUGAAGGAACGUUAAAGACGAUGACGUUGAUAGGCCGGGUGUGUAAGCGCAGCGAUGCGUUGAGCUAACCGGUACUAAUGAACCGUGAGGCUUAACCUUACAACGCCGAAG